rnacentral:rRNA from 1 species
UACAGAGGGUGCAAGCGUUUGUUCGGAAUUAUUGGGCGUAAAGCGCGUGUAGGCGGCUUUGCAAGUCGGGUGUGAAAGCCCUCAGCUCAACUGAGGAAGUGCGCCCGAAACUGCAGAGCUUGAGUACCGGAGAGGAUGGCGGAAUUCCCGAAGUAGAGGUGAAAUUCGUAGAUAUCGGGAGGAACACCGGUGGCGAAGGCGGCCAUCUGGACGGAUACUGACGCUGAGACGCGAAAGCGUGGGUAGCAAACAGG